GGGGCCAGCUUUAUUUGAUUUUGACAAGAAGUUUUCUUCUAAAUGAAAAAAAGUACUUGCAGGUUAAAAGUUACAAUGUUUUCAACACUUGCCUGAUAAUUGAGGAAUUUCGGAGACAGCAACCCCAUCUUUAUCACAAAUUUUGGCCUCCAUAUCUGGACAAGUCUUCAAGCAGCUGCCAAUGUCCUUUUCUCUUGAGUCUGUAGCCUUAUCUGUUUUUCCACCAGCAUGUGCCAUAUCCCCGUUUGGACUUGAAUCUACAUUUCCAGCGCAAUUAUCAUUUGUAUCUGGUUCUUUUUUUGUUUUAAUUUUUAUUUUACAAAUUCAGAUUAAUGAUAUGUUUUAAGGGCCCCUAGAUGUGCUCUAAAAAAAUCACCCUGUCUGUCUGUACAUCUUUUCCUUGAAAAAGGCUUGUAAAGUUAAAAGCAAUUCACCUGCGUCUAGGUUUUGAUUACAUGUAUUUACAUUUAGCUCUCUUGAACAACCAACUAUAAAGUGUCAUGCAAUGGAUACAAUUACAUUUGUCGUAAUAAUAUUUGAAAUUUUAAACAAGAAAAUUUUAAACAAAAUUAGAAAAAAUGAAGAAAAGCUGAAUAUUAGGCAAGUAAACAUUUGAUUCUAUAUUUUGUGUAAAAUUACUUACGUAGACACUAAGGUUACCAUCUUUAGAAUAUAGCAACACUUAUGCCAGCUAUUUCUACUUGGCAUUUAGAUUAGUAUAUUAUUCAAAAUCAGAACCAAGUGAAACCACCACAAUCUUUGUGCGCCCUUGUUUUGAACACCAUGUUUGAUACCCAAAAGAAAGCCUCAUAAUUUUAGAUUGAUAGAGAGCUGUUUUUUAUUAACCCAAGAAUGUACAUGUAUUUCAGCAUGCCUACAAGUCCAGUCACAAUCAAUCAGGAUCCAAACUAACAUUUUUGAGCCAGAGCACUGUGGGGCCUUAAUGCAUUAGUUAAUUAGCUGUUUAAUUUGUUUAUAUUUAAAAUACAUAAAGUAUCAAUAAGGUUAAAGUGCAUUUUAUAUGUCCUUAAUAUCAUGAAAUAUUGGUAAAAGUAGGCUUGUAAAAUUCAAAUAUUUCUUCUAGAUUUAUCAAGGUCAGUGUAAUUUUUUUUUGCAAAAUAUUGUCUGUGAUACCUGCUAAUGCUGGAUUUUUUUCAAUUCCAGAAUGGAUAUCUGAUGUGGCACAUACACCCUCUCCGUCAAAUGAGAGUGCACCAUCCACAACCCGGACUCCACUGUUCAGGUCCAAGCUUUAAUGCAUCUCCGUCACAGCUUCUACACCCAUGCCAUCACAUGAACGUUCAUCAACAGUGACUCUGGCUCCACUGAACAAGUCCAUGCCUUCUGAGUUACAUGUACCAGCAACUUCCUCUGAAAUUGCAACUGGACUGUACCUGGAGAAUGUUGAACUUUAGAAACAGUGGAUUCAGCUUCCAAUCCUGUCCUAGUUUGUCCUCCACCAUUGCCAUCAGAAUUAGCAUCACCUUCAUAUGUGAGAACAGAACCUGA